rnacentral:rRNA from 1 species
UACAGAGGUCCCGAGCGUUGUUCGGAUUCAUUGGGCGUAAAGGGUGCGUAGGUGGCGCUGUAAGUGGGGUGUGAAAUCCCGGGGCUUAACCCCGGGACUGCAUUCCAUACUGCGGUGCUUGAGGACUGGAGAGGAGACUGGAAUUUACGGUGUAGCAGUGAAAUGCGUAGAGAUCGUAAGGAAGACCAGUGGCGAAGGCGGGUCUCUGGACAGCUCCUGACACUGAGGCACGAAGGCCAGGGGAGCAAACGGG